rnacentral:lncRNA from 10 species
UCGUACUAUACUUAUAUAUCAAGUAAGAUACAGUACAGUACAUAAACAGAUGUAUUUCUGUGAUAUUAAAACUUUAUGUCGGCUUGAUUAGGAAAAAAUGGUCUCAGAAGCCUCCUUGGAAGGCGAUAACGAAAAAAAAACAAAGAGAUUCUUUCUUCUACAUCUUAGCGGAUGUUGUAAGGCUUGAAAUUGCACAGAAGGGGAAGUGAAAUGAGAACUCUGGCUGCUUGGAGAAGUUGGACUAAUGGAGAUACCAGAGAGAAGAAAUGUACCCGAGGAUCUACUCGAAUAAAAAUGGAUCUAAUCUGAACUAAGUGACCAACACAGAGGAGAAGGCUUUAUUUUUCUUUAACACUGCCCUCAAACAUACUGCAUCCUAGGGACCUUUUUUCCAACUCCCAAAGACGUCUUGACCAUUCCCAUAGCUUUCCAGACAUUUCCAACGGUGCGGGAAAGUCUCCUUGUUGUAAUUAAGUCUUAUUUUCUUGUAUUAAAAUGUGCUUUCCAGUUUAAAUUUUGAUUUCAAAUUUGGAUCCAAUACUGAGCUUCUCUUUUUACCCCAAGCUGAGGCUUAGGGACAUGUAGAAGAACAGAGAUGGUUCCACUCUUUCCUCCGCCUCCUUUUCCCACUUUGCCUCUUCCAGAUUUGGGGCAAGAAAAAGAAAGGGGAGUUCGUUCUCUGAACUAGUCUUGUUAUUAAUAUUUCAGGAUUCUCUUGGCUAAGGCUGGUUGGUGAUCAGUGUGGACGCUAUGGCAUGUGUAUGAGGGUAGAACAUUGGUCUUUCCAUGGGUUGGCCCAGGAGCUCUUUGGGAGGCCCACGGGGUGCUGAGCAUUGCACAGCUGCCUGCUACGGCAGUGUUCUCUAGAUUGCCUCCCUCUGACCUUCCAACCUCCUUCCCCAAGGGUUACAGACCCAGGCUCCUACGGCUGAAGUUCUCCAGGGCUGUACCACUUUUACAUACUAACUUGAACAUACUAACUUUAAGAUAGACCUCAGCCUGGUGCCCUUUUCCAUUGUCCAUGUAACUAAGGAAAAACAUACUCUGGAAGGGCAUGGUGGAUGGCCGACGCCUGUAACCCCAGCAGUUUGGGAGGCCGAAGCAGGCGAUCACUUGACGUCAGGAGUUUAAGACCAACCUGGCCAAUGUGGCAAAACCCCAU